GUUUCCGUGGUGUAGUGGUUAUCACAUCCGCCUGACACGCGGAAGGUCCUCGGUUCGAGACCGGGCGGGAACA
rnacentral:tRNA from 1 species